rnacentral:rRNA from 1 species
UACGUAGGGGGCUAGCGUUGUCCGGAAUCAUUGGGCGUAAAGCGCGUGUAGGCGGCCCGAUAAGUCCGCUGUGAAAGUCCAGGGCUCAACCCUGGGAUGCCGGUGGAUACUGUCGGGCUCGAGUCCGGAAGAGGCGAGUGGAAUUCCUGGUGUAGCGGUGAAAUGCGCAGAUAUCAGGAGGAACACCGAUGGCGAAGGCAGGUCUCUGGGCCACUACUGACGCUGAGGUGCGAAAGCGUGGGGAGCAAACAGG